rnacentral:rRNA from 1 species
AACUUUUAACGGUGGAUCUCUUGGCUCGUGCAUCGAUGAAGAACGCAGCCAGGUGCGAUAAGUAGUGUGAAUUGCAGAAUUCAGUGA